rnacentral:rRNA from 1 species
GAUGAACGCUGGCGGCGUGCUUAACACAUGCAAGUCGAACGAAGCACUCUAUUUGAUUUUCUUCGGAAAUGAAGAUUUUGUGACUGAGUGGCGGACGGGUGAGUAACGCGUGGGUAACCUGCCUCAUACAGGGGGAUAACAGUUGGAAACGACUGCUAAUACCGCAUAAGCACACAGGAUUGCAUGAUCCGGUGUGAAAAACUCCGGUGGUAUGAGAUGGACCCGCGUCUGAUUAGCCAGUUGGCAGGGUAACGGACUACCAAAGCGACGAUCAGUAGCCGACCUGAGAGGGUGACCGGCCACAUUGGGACUGAGACACGGCCCAAACUCCUACGGGAGGCAGCAGUGGGGAAUAUUGCACAAUGGGGGAAACCCUGAUGCAGCGACGCCGCGUGAGCGAAGAAGUAUUUCGGUAUGUAAAGCUCUAUCAGCAGGGAAGAAGAAUGACGG